rnacentral:rRNA from 1 species
UGGGGAAUAUUGCGCAAUGGGGGAAACCCUGACGCAGCAACGCCGCGUGGAGGAUGAAGGUUUUCGGAUUGUAAACUCCUUUGAUCGGGGACGAAAAAAAUGACGGUACCCGAAAAACAAGCCACGGCUAACUACGUGCCAGCAGCCGCGGUAAUACGUAGGUGGCGAGCGUUGUCCGGAAUUACUGGGUGUAAAGGGCGUGUAGGCGGGAUUGUAAGUCAGAUGUGAAAUUCCAGGGCUCAACUCUGGAGCUGCAUCUGAAACUGUGAUUCUUGAGUGCUGGAGAGGAUAGUGGAAUUCCUAGUGUAGCGGUGAAAUGCGUAGAUAUUAGGAGGAACACCAGUGGCGAAGGCGGCUAUCUGGACAGUAACUGACGCUGAGGCGCGAAAGCGUGGGGAGCAAACA